UUGCUCACAACGCUCUUGUGUCAUCGUUAAACAAAUUAAACCACGGCCAUGAGUAGCCAUAAAGUUAAUUGCUUCUGCGCUAAUAUGUUCCGCAGCAAUGAUUA
rfam:Pseudoalteromonas marina DSM 17587 strain mano4 contig063, whole genome shotgun sequence.